rnacentral:tRNA from 1 species
GUUGCUGUAGCUCAGUGGCAGAGUGCUUGCCUUGCACAUGUGAGGCACUGGGUUCAAUCCCCAGCACAAUA